UAAAUAAAGAUUUCAAAACAAUACAUCUAAUAUGGGUUAAAAGCCAUUGUGGAAUACUAGACAAUGAAACAGUUGAUGUCUUAGCUAAAAGGGCCAUUCACGAAGGAGAAGGAACAAAAUACAAAUGUACAACAAAUGAAAUAAAAACAGUUAUUAACAACGUUUGGAAAACAAAAUGGGAAGAAGAUAAUAAAAACAAUCAAAAGGGCAAACAUUACAAAGACAUUCAAGAAACGAUUCCCAAAAAACCAUGGUUUAUAAAGGGGAAUCUUUCCAAAAAUGCAAUAAGAAAAAUUUGUCGUUUGAGGUUUAAUCACGUACCUGUUCCCAAAUUUCUAUUUAAAAUUCGUUUAAAAACCGAUCCAUAUUGCAACUGUGGAGAAAUAGGAGACGCAGAGCAUCAAAUAUUAAAUUGCUCUCUAAUAAAAGCUCAAGUGAAAAUCUUUUUGGACAAAAUUUAUAAGUUAAAAGAUGUCAUACAUCCAAUUAAUUUAAAGUUCUUAUUAAAUCAAAGUAAUAAUCCACAAGUUGUCAUUUUAUUAUGUGAGCAUAUUAACAGUUAUUUAACCAACAAGUGUAUUAAUAAGGGCGAUUAACAAUUGAGGUAUUUUAACGCGUGAGCGGAACGAGCGCGUUAAUGUUCGAGAUUGUUAACCCUAACAACACACAACAUUCCAGGAAUGUACUACCAAAGUUCUAUCAAUAUUUGAAUGUCCUGGACAUUUAGGGAACAUUCGGUGAACAUCUGUUUAAAUUAUUCCUGGAAUGUUACCAUAAGACAUUCUGUGAACAUACUACCAAUGUUCCUAUAUUUUAAGUUGCGAAAUAAUACAUACGUGUAAGAGAUACAACAUUACUUAUAACAUACCAGACAAACUAAGUGACAUUUUAGGCCUACAGUGCAAUAAUAUGUCAAAUUUAAAGAGUUUCCCAAGUUCAAUUAAUACAAUAUUAUAAACAUACAAAUGUAAUAAAAAUUAUUGUUCGCGAAUAUUCAAUUUGGAAUGCGAUUUUGUUAAUAAAAAAAAUACUUAUAACUUAUGCAAAACCCAAGAGAGGCAUUUAUAUUUAUUUCUUUUGCGUUCAUUUUCAAAUUCGCCGUGCAUAUAUUUUUGUGCAUGGCGCUUGAGAGGGCAUCACGUGACUAAAAACGACCAACCAACGACCUCGCUUCGGCCAUCUUGGCAUCUUCAUCUUGGCGACCUUGCCCGGCCUUGCCUUGCCGUGGAUUGUUGUUUGUAUUAUUUGUGCUUUUUAAGAAUAUUUUUUUAAUUCGGAUACUUUUAUAAUAGCUUUAAUAGUAUUAUUAACAUAGUGCAUAAAAUGGUGUCCUGUUUUUAACGCAGUUGGAGUAGCAGAAACAAAUGUAGAUAAAAAAAUCUGCAGGAAUAACGUUUCAAUUAUGACAGAAGCUCAAAACAAAUGACUGUGAAUGAAAAGCCCUAUUAAAAGCUUUCCAGAAGAUCCUGCGAAGAAGACAUGAAGUAUAGAUCAGAUUUGUUAAUAGAGGAGUAUGUUCAAAACACUUUUUAGAAAAAGAUAUUGACAGAACGUCACUUUCAUCUGUUCGUUUGAGAGACUGUGCUGUUCCAAUAGCUUAUGUCACACAGAAUCAGCUGAGAGAAGUGGUCUACAAAAAACCAGAAAGGAAACGGAAUAUGUGGCUACGAAAAGCAAAAGAAAGGUUUACAAAGCAAAUGUGACACAUUUUUUUAUAAUAUUUAGGAAUGUCAGCAAAUUACAUUAAAAAAUGUAUGUAAAGAUUUUUUGCAAUAAAAAUGUUUAUAUUUAUCAAGGAUGUAUUAUUUGGUAUGGCCAUAUAUCGUCAGUGAUGUGACAGGACCUCCUCUCUGUUUUUUUCAAGAGAUUUGUAAGAUAGACUAAAAACUUGUUUCGGCCACCUCCUGUUUUCAUAUAUUUUUUGACUUGUUUUGCAGUAAAUUCAACUAUCUAUUUACUACAAAAAAAGUCAGAAUACGUACGAAACCAGAAAGUGACCUUAAAAAAUGUUUUUCGUCUCCUGCAAACCUCAUGAAAAAACAUAUAGGAGGUAUUGUCACAUUACUGACGAUAUAUUUCAGUGAAUGUCUAAAAAAUAUACUGUGAAUGUUCAAAGAACGUUCGUAGACAUUCAUGGAAUGUUCUAACAAGACAUUCAGUCUAAAAAUAUACUGUGAAUGUCCAAAGAACAGUCAUGGAAUGUUCCAACAAGACAUUCAGUCUAAAAAAUAGACUGUGAAUGUCCAAAGAACAUUCGUAGACAUUCAUGGAAUGUUCCAACAGAACAUUCUAAGAAUAUUUAAAAUGCUGACACAGCACUUUCCUGGUACUUUCCAGGGACAUUCGUGUGCAUUUGGGGACAUUCCAGGAAUGUUUUCAAUGUCCUGUGUGUACAUUCUAGGAACAUUCAUGGAAUGUUUUGUGUUAUUAGGGAAUCGCCAUUUUA
rnacentral:lncRNA from 1 species